CCAGCAUAUAUUCAUCUUUCAAUCCCUUUUCUGACUUAAGUAUCGAAUGGGCGACGAGCACACAUCUCGUUGCCUUUGUUUCAGGUACCGAAAGACUACGAUCGUACUCAAUCCAAAUCAUCAAGCUCGAAAAAUCUACAGGUAACCAAACGUCUAAUUUAACCGGCUGACCAAGUUACUCCUCGUCGGUUGACGAUUGCUAAUUGUUCUUCAUACUGAAAUCCCAUCACAAAACAUUUUUGCUCCACCACCUGAUGUUCUCCACACGACUCUCCUAGCGGCCGAGCUCCACCGCCUGAAUCUGCCUUUAACCCAUUUUCUUUUUGGGCCACUCUUACUAUAUAGUUGGCCCAUAUAUUUUGGACAAUACGGCCCAUCUGAAUCAUUUUUAGCAGAACAAUUAACGCCGAUAAACCCCUAAAUUCCGACGAAGCAAAAGACCUUUAAGCUUCAAAAAGCUGAAAUUUUCGGUAUGUUGAUAUACAGUUGCGUUCUUUCUUUGAUUAAUGGUGAAAAUCCUCGGGAUAGAGUUUCAGGUUUUAACUUGUUAAUUCAACUGAU